rnacentral:rRNA from 1 species
ACGUAGGGUGCGAGCGUUAAUCGGAAUUACUGGGCGUAAAGGGUGCGCAGGCGGUUGAGUAAGACAGAUGUGAAAUCCCCGAGCUUAACUCGGGAAUGGCAUAUGUGACUGCUCGACUAGAGUGUGUCAGAGGGAGGUGGAAUUCCACGUGUAGCAGUGAAAUGCGUAGAUAUGUGGAAGAACACCGAUGGCGAAGGCAGCCUCCUGGGAUAUAACUGACGCUCAGGCACGAAAGCGUGGGGAGCAAACAG